rnacentral:lncRNA from 1 species
AUGCGCUGAUGAAGUUGAAGUUGCUCCUGUCGGAGAAUGUGGUUCUCAUGUUGGACAGACCCCAUAGCACUGGUCAGGCGUUGAUUGGACUCAUCGACUUUAUUGAAUCUGUCACCCAACACCUUCACAGAAUCGGUAUUGGCUUGUAUGGCCUGCUCCUGUCGAGCUAGGCUAGCCUCUUGUCGUGAAGCGGUUGUUUGGAGAAUAUGCUCUUGUC